UUGGUGGUGUCUGCUAGGUACUGUC
rnacentral:piRNA from 1 species